UGAAGGCAACUUCUUGUGUUUUUUUCAAAAUAAAGUCAUAUAUAACUUGCAAUUCAUAUUUCCCAUUUCCUUUUGCAAAGUGCUUCCGACAAUCACUUUUUCCAAGUGUUUUUUCAUUCAACUUAAUCUGCUCACCAACUAAACCCAACCCUAAGCUCAACGUAACAUCUACUUCCUGUAAUUCCACAAAUUUUUCUCCAAAACAAAAACCACCUUUCUAAUAAAUCGCUUAGAAUAUUCCUACCAAGCUUAAUGUCAUCAUUUAGUUCUAAAAACCAAUGAAAUGGAGUUUGUGAAAUAAUAGUCUUCUGCUUGUCAGUCAAAAUUUCAUUCAAACCACCAAUAAACUUGGUUUUCAUUGAAUGUCGAACAAACAACUCCAUCUGAAAAUAAAAAUUCUUUCAUGUAUUAAGUCGCGAUAAAACACAAAACCCAUAAAAAACCACAACCCAUAAAGAUAGAGCUUCAAUAUAACCAACAAAAACACAACGAAUACCUCAAACGAAUGAAGUACAUACCUUGUUGGAAGAACCAACGUCAGGGGUCAAAGCCAUUGCACAAAAUAACGAAGAAAGAACCACAAACUUCAAACAACCCUUCCACCGAGACCGGUUAAAGCACACCACGAACUCCAUAAACAACACACCAACUCAAAUGGUCACACAGUCAACACAACAAACACACAAAAUGAAAUCAAAAUCAAUAAACCUGAAAAUGGAAGACGGAAAAGAGAGUGCGAAGGAGAACGAGAGUGGUGGAACAGAGAACGAGAGUGUUGGGACAGAGAAGAACGACUGUGCGAAGGAGAGAGAACGAAAAUUUGAAAAUGAAAUCCCUAGCAUUGAGCAUCAACUCUUCUGGAAAGAGGAUUCAAUGAAAAAAUUAAGCGGGACAGUUUAGGAAAUUCAUCCAAAGCAUAUUUUCAUAUUAAAAAAAUGAAAUUCAAACCCAACCAAUUACAACGCGCCAUGUGGCGUUGUCAAAAGUAUUGUCAAAAAUCAGUUGUUAAAAUAUCGCUACCCAAUCUUCAAUUAGAAUGCA
rnacentral:lncRNA from 1 species